rnacentral:rRNA from 1 species
GUAAUUUGCAGAGGGCGCUUUGGCAUUGGCAGCGGUCCAAGUUCCUUGGAACAGGACGUCACAGAGGGUGAGAAUCCCGUACGUGGUCGCUAGCCUUUACCGUGUAAAGCCCCUUCGACGAGUCGAGUUGUUUGGGAAUGCAGCUCUAAAUGGGAGGUAAAUUUCUUCUAAAGCUAAAUACUGGCCAGAGACCGAUAGCGCACAAGUAGAGUGAUCGAAAGAUGAAAAGCACUUUGGAAAGAGAGUUAAAAAGCACGUGAAAUUGUUGAAAGGGAAGCGCUUGCAGCCAGACUUGCCUGUAGUUGCUCAUCCGGGUUUUUACCCGGUGCACUCUUCUAUAGGCAGGCCAGCAUCAGUUUGGGCGGUUGGAUAAAGGUCUCUGUCAUGUACCUCUCUUCGGGGAGAACUUAUAGGGGAGACGACAUGCAACCAGCCUGGACUGAGGUCCGCGCAUCUGCUAGGAUGCUGGCGUAAUGGCUGUAAGCGGCCCGUC